GGUAUAUGCUUGUCUCAAAGACUAAGCCAUGCAAGUCUAAGUAUAAGUUAUUCUGAAGACGAAACUGCGAAUGGCUCGGUAAAACAGCAAUAAUUUCUUCGGUGAUGAGUUUACUCACGGAUAACCGUAGUAAUUCUAGAGCUAAUACGUGCUGAGAAAAGGUGGGGCUCACGCUCCAUCGUGCCGUUUAGAUAACAACACCAACAUUUGGUGAUUCAUAAUCGUCUUUCUGAUCGCCUCGUGCGACGCACCGUUCAAAUUUCUGACCUAUCAACUUUCGAUGGUAAGGUAGUGUCUUACCAUGGUGGCAACGGGUAACGGACCGUGGGUGCGGGACUCCGGAGAGGGAGCCUGAGAAACGGCUACCACAUCCAAGGAAGGCAGCAGGCGCGCAACUUGCCCAAUCCAGACUCUGGGAGGCAGUGACGAGAAAUAUCAAUAGGGGAUCCUAUGGGUCUUCUAAUUGGAAUGAGAACAAGCUAAACAGCUUAUCGAGAAUCCAGCAGAGGGCAAGUCUGGUGCCAGCAGCCGCGGUAAUUCCAGCUCUGUAAGCGUAUACCAAAGUUGUUGCAGUCAAAACGCUCGUAGUCGGAAUUUGGCAGUUCCGGAAGUGUGCACGUCGUGUGCGCACUUUGCAGGGACUGCUUUUGUGGUCUUGCGUAGGAUGAGGCACUUUUAUUAGUGAACGUCCUCACACAACCACUCUUUACUGUGAGAAAAUCAGAGUGCUCAAAGCAGCAUUUGCCGUGAAUGUAUUAGCAUGGAAUAAUAGAUAGGACUCGGUUCUAUUUUGUGGUUUGUUGGGACUGAGUAAUGAU
rnacentral:rRNA from 1 species